UGCGUGUGUAAACAGAUCGGGAGACGUCGCGCGUGAUUUCCAAUAUUUUAGAUCAUUGUAAACGUGCGUGAGAAAUUUCUUCAUUAUUCGCGUGUGCGAUUAUUGUGCUAAGAUCAUUUUAAGCAGCGGCAGCAUUCUAGAAUCCCAAGGAUAUAACGGAGCUUGUGGCCACACGAUGGGUGCGGUUCCCGGGAAAUGCGAUGGACCCAUGCUAUACCGGAGGAUCCGGUUCGGGCCAAGCAGGGUCGGCUCGAAGAAACCACGUGGUCUCGGAAAAAAUAGUAUAUGUAAGCAUAAAUGAUUGUCGAGCGCCUUUGACGCGUACGUAAACAAACAAACGGGUUGGGAGACGUUGCGCAUGAUUUCCAAUAUUUUGAAAUUCUUUGGUAGAGUUUCUUGGAUAGUUUUAUAAUAUUUUUAUAUGCAGAAUGUAACCGAUCCUGAGACUCUGAUAUUUCGGCGUAUCCAAAUAGGACCUAUAUAGGCGUGCCGGAAUAGGGUCUCGUCCGAUUUACAAAUCGAACCCUGACUUACAAAAGCGUUACAUCUCUGUACAGAGCCUAUUCGAGCUUGCCUGAAUGGCGCCUAGACAGAAAUGGGGAAAAACUAUUUAGGGCCUUUACAAGCCCUCUUUUAAAUUCCUACCCGGAGAAUGUCGUCGGAUA